rnacentral:rRNA from 1 species
CCUACGGGAGGCAGCAGUGGGGAAUAUUGGGCAAUGGGCGCAAGCCUGAUCCAGCAACGCCGCGUGAAGGAAGAAGGCUUUCGGGUUGUAAACUUCCUUUCUCAGGGACGAAGAAAGUGACGGUACCUGAGGAAUAAGCCACGGCUAACUACGUGCCAGCAGCCGCGGUAAUACGUAGGUGGCAAGCGUUAUCCGGAUUUAUUGGGUGUAAAGGGCGGGUAGGCGGGUGCGCAAGUCAGAUGUGAAAACUCAGGGCUCAACCCUGAGCCUGCAUUUGAAACUGUGUGUCUUGAGUGCUGGAGAGGCAAUCGGAAUUCCGGGUGUAGCGGUGAAAUGCGUAGAUAUACGGAGGAACACCAGUGGCGAAGGCGGAUUGCUGGACAGUAACUGACGCUGAGGCGCGAAGGCGUGGGGAGCAAACAGGAUUAGAUACCCCAGUAGUC